rnacentral:rRNA from 1 species
AGCAGCAGCCGCGGGAAUACGGAGGGUGCAAGCGUUAUCCGGAUUUAUUGGGUUUAAAGGGUCCGUAGGCGGAUCUGUAAGUCAGUGGUGAAAUCUCACAGCUUAACUGUGAAACUGCCAUUGAUACUGCAGGUCUUGAGUAAAUUUGAAGUGGCUGGAAUAAGUAGUGUAGCGGUGAAAUGCAUAGAUAUUACUUAGAACACCAAUUGCGAAGGCAGGUCACUAAGAUUUAACUGACGCUGAUGGACGAAAGCGUGGGGAGCGAACAGGAUUAGAUACCCCGGUAGUCCCUGUCUCUUAUAC